GACGAACGCUGGCGGCGUGCUUAACACAUGCAAGUCGAACGGAAAGGCCCUGCUUUUGUGGGGUGCUCGAGUGGCGAACGGGUGAGUAACACGUGAGUAACCUGCCCUUGACUUUGGGAUAACUUCAGGAAACUGGGGCUAAUACCGGAUAGGAGCUCCUGCUGCAUGGUGGGGGUUGGAAAGUUUCGGCGGUUGGGGCUGGACUCGCGGGUUAUCAGCUUGUUGGUGGGGUAGUGGAUUACCAAGGGUUUGACGGGUAGCCGGCCUGGGAGGGUGACCGGCCACAUUGGGACUGCGGUACGGCCCAGACGCCUACGGGAGGCAGCAGUGGGGAAUAUUGCACAAUGGGCGGGAGCCUGAUGCAGCAACGCCGCGUUCGGGAUGACGGCCUUCGGGUUGUAAACCGCUUUCGCCUGUGACGAAGCGGUAGUGACGGUAAUGGGUAAAGAAGCACCGGCUAACUACGUG
rnacentral:rRNA from 1 species